rnacentral:lncRNA from 1 species
CUGCAAAGACUGCAUUAGAUGCGGUGUGCAUGAUGUCGUUUCUUCGCAGCAGGACUGGGCCGUGACCUGUCACAUCACAAUCCCGCUGCCCUGAAGGAUGAGGACGACCCAGCCCAGCCUCCUCUGUCCGCUCCGCUUUCCCCGUAAGACUUCCUGAGCCAGACGGCCUGAGUUCCAACCACCUCCCUCUGGCCUGCAGGGGGGCCGCCUCAGGCUGUCGCCCUCCCUCUCUGCACCUGCGACAGACCACCCUCCCCAGGCAGGACAGCGUGAGAAAGAGGGAACGGGGGCCAUGUGGCCAGCAGCAGCGCCGAGAGCACGUUCUCUGCAAACCCUUCCCCGACCAUCCCAGGAUCCCAGUGGAGGCUGGAUCCCUCGGGAGAGUGAGGCCCAGGCUUGCGUCCACAGGCCCUGGGAAUGACAGGGCACACUCUUGCCUUCCUGGAGAGCCUGACUUGGAACAGAGGAGACGGACAGACAGCCCUGAGAGUCAGGGCCCUCAUAGCUUCUUCUCUGCUUCUAAUUUGCUGUGUGACCUGGGGCUGGUCACUGCCCAUCUCUGGGCCUCCCUUUUCUCCUCUGAGGAGGGAGCUGGUCUGGCUCCACUGUUUGCCAGCUAUCUGUCCUUGGGCAAGCUAUUUAACCUCCUUGUGCCUGUUUCCUCA